ACGUGCUCCUUCGAGGGCUGCUUGGUCCAGGCGGCUCCCGGCCAUGGGGCCCGCGCGUUCUCUGCUGUGCACUGGGUGGUGGAGGAGUGCGGUGCCAGUGAGACUCUGAUGAGGAGGGAGCCUCCAACACAUCCAUGUUCCUUACCCUCAAUGGGGAACAGUGCGGCCUUAUCGAGGGUGGCUUCCGCAGGACUCAGCACGUGCAGCCCCUACAUUAUGCCAGGCCGAGGCGCUUCCUCUUCUAGGUUCACAUUAGUUGGUGUCAAAAGGGGUAUUCGAAGGAGUUGAAUCCCUAAAGAACUAAUGAUCCUGGGAAUCAUGCCUGGUACCCACUUGAUCCCCUUGUGUUCUCCACUCUUUUGGUCUGAUUGCAUUUUCUGGAAGCAGAUUCUGAGAUGGAGUUUGGGGUCUAAGCUGUUUAUUAAAAGUCAACACCUGUGGAAGGAAGAAAAGGAAGCAAGAUUGGGUAAAGGGACAGGUCCAUCAGAGAAAUGAGCCUGACAAAACCUUGGCUAACCUUCUGUGGAGCUCUGGAACACUGAGGGCAUCUCAGAGCAGCCCUAGGUUGGGUGGGAAAAAUUGUUUUCACCCCUGACUCAGUCAGGCAUUGACUGCUUCUGAUUUGGGAUGGGUAUUAUGAUGGGGCCAGAUAGCUAGCUCUCUGCAGCUGAGUCAGCCCCCAUCAGGGUUGACAGCUUGAGCGGCUGUCAACCGCUCAAGGUCUUAUUCUGAAGGGAGAUCUAGGUAGUGUGUCUCAGCAAUGACAUUACAUUUCCUACCCUUAUGCUUUGUGAGAAUUUGAAUGGAUAUAAAAUCCCAACGUGUAAAGGGGGAAGUAAUUUUCAGAUGAAUAAGUCUUCAAACAGUAUACCUUCGAGGAACCUCUUUCUACCUGUUUAAGUCAAUGAUUUCCCACCCCCGACGCCCCCAGCCUUUGCAUUCUAAGGCAGUUUUAACUGAUGCAAGUAGUAUUCUCAUGUUUUGUUUGUUUAGAAAUUUGAAUCCAUAUAGAAAAUUUUCUAAACAUAUUGAAAUUAAUUGCUUCUGGGGAAUAGAAAUUGGGGGUGGAUGUGGUUGGGGCUUGGGACAUUAGUUUUUCAUCCAGCUGGGACAGUUUGGAGAGUAAAAGGGAGGGCUAUUAAUACUUACACUGGGGUAACAGGCGUAAAUCUGGACUGUCCCUGGGAAACUGGAAGUUUUUGCAGUCACCCUAACUAGAAGCCUUGCAGAAUUCUUUUGACUUUUUAAACUUGUGCAGGUAUCUGUU